GGGGAAUUAGGGUUCAAUUCCGGAGAGGGAGCCUGAGAAACGGCUACCACAUCUAAGGAAGGCAGCAGGCGCGCAAAUUACCCAAUUCUAACAGCAUAAGAGAGGUAGUGACAAGAAAUAACAGUACAAGGCAGUUAAAAUGCUUUGUAAUUGGAAUGAUAGAAAUUUAAAUACUUUUUAAAGUAUCAAUUGGAGGGCAAGUCUGGUGCCAGCAGCCGCGGUAAUUCCAGCUCCAAUAGCGUAUAUUAAAAUUGUUGCAGUUAAAAAGCUCGUAGUUGAAUUUUUGCUAAAAAUAACCGGUCUGCUUUUAUUAAUAAAAGUGGUAUCUUGGUGUGUUUUUAGCAAUAAUGUCCUUUGAAAUGUUUUUUACUUUAUUGUAAGAGGCAAUUUUCAGGAUUUUUACUUUGAGAAAAUUAGAGUGUUUCAAGCAGGCUAACGUUUUGAAUACUGCAGCAUGGAAUAAUAAAAUAGGAUUUUAGUUCUACGUUAUUGGUUUUAAGAACUAAAUUAAUGAUUGAUAGGAGCAGUUGGGGGCAUUUGUAUUUAACUGUCAGAGGUGA
rnacentral:rRNA from 1 species